UCUAUUUUAUUUUUUGAAUUAUUUUUUACCCCUAAAGAAAAUACUUUAAAACAUGAAUUUGAGCCAAGUUAUCGAGCUCUUUGUAACGUUUUCGGCUUCAUUGGAGCACGACGCCGUUUUCUUCUCACGGUCCUUCAACGCCGCCGUUUUUGUGCAAAGGAAGAAAUUUCUCGAUCCCAACUCCAUCAGCUUCUCUUCUCUUUCCAAACCUGCGGCCAACCCCACGAAAAAUAUUGGC